AUUGAACGCUGGCGGAAUGCUUUACACAUGCAAGUCGAACGGCAGCACGGGGGCAACCCUGGUGGCGAGUGGCGAACGGGUGAGUAAUACAUCGGAACGUGCCCAGUCGUGGGGGAUAACGUAGCGAAAGCUACGCUAAUACCGCAUACGAUCUACGGAUGAAAGCGGGGGAUCGCAAGACCUCGCGCGAUUGGAGCGGCCGAUGGCAGAUUAGGUAGUUGGUGGGGUAAAGGCUCACCAAGCCAACGAUCUGUAGCUGGUCUGAGAGGACGACCAGCCACACUGGGACUGAGACACGGCCCAGACUCCUACGGGAGGCAGCAGUGGGGAAUUUUGGACAAUGGGCGCAAGCCUGAUCCAGCCAUUCCGCGUGCAGGAUGAAGGCCCUCGGGUUGUAAACUGCUUUUGUACGGAACGAAACCGCGCCGGGUUAAUACCUCGGCGUAAUGACGGUACCGUAAGAAUAAGCACCGGCUAACUACAAUGCCAGCAGCCG
rnacentral:rRNA from 1 species